rnacentral:rRNA from 1 species
UACGUAGGUGGCGAGCGUUGUCCGGAUUUACUGGGCGUAAAGAGCGCGCAGGCGGUCGUACAAGUCGCGUGUGAAAGCCCCUGGCUCAACUGGGGAGGGUCACGCGAUACUGCUCGACUUGAAGGCAGGAGAGGGAAGUGGAAUUCCCGGUGUAGUGGUGAAAUGCGUAGAUAUCGGGAGGAACACCAGUGGCGAAGGCGACUUCCUGGCCUGUUCUUGACGCUGAGGCGCGAAAGCUAGGGUAGCAAACGGG